rnacentral:misc_RNA from 1 species
UCCGGUUUGGCACCGGCAGUCUCCCUAGAGUUCCCGGCUUUACCCGCUGACAACUAAGGAAAGGGGUUGCGCUCGUUGCGCCACUUAAGGCAACACCUCACGGCACGAGCUGACGACAGCCAUGCAGCACCUGUGCGGGCUCCCGUAGGAGGACCGUGUUUCCACGGCUUCACCCCGCAUGUCAAGACCUGGUAAGGUUCUUCGCGUUGCAUCGAAUUAAACCACAUGCUCCGCCGCUUGUGCGGGUCCCCGUCAAUUCCUUUGAGUUUUAGCCUUGCGGCCGUACUCCCCAGGCGGGGCACUUAAUGCGUUUGCGACGGCGCGGAUCUCGUUGGUUGAGACCCACACCUAGUGCCCAACGUUUACGGCGUGGACUAC